UACGUAGGGGGCAAGCGUUGUCCGGAUUUAUUGGGCGUAAAGUGCGCGUAGGCGGCGCGGUAUGUCGUGCGUGAAAUCUCCCGGCUUAACUGGGAGGGGCCGUGCGAAACUGCCGGGCUUGAGGUCGGAAGGGGAAAGUGGAAUUCCGGGUGUAGUGGUGGAAUACGUAGAUAUCCGGAGGAACACCAGCGGCGAAGGCGGCUUUCUGGUCCGAUACUGACGCUGAGGUGCGAAAGCGUGGGGAGCGAUCCGG
rnacentral:rRNA from 1 species